rnacentral:rRNA from 1 species
AUUGAACGCUGGCGGCAGGCCUAACACAUGCAAGUCGAACGAGUGGCGGACGGGUGAGUAAUGUCUGGGAAACUGCCUGAUGGAGGGGGAUAACUACUGGAAACGGUAGCUAAUACCGCAUACCAUCAGCUGUGCCCAGAUGUGAUUAGCUUGUUGGUGGGGUAACGGCUCACCAAGGCGACGACCCCUAGCUGGUCUGAGAGGAGGACCAGCACAACUGGAACUGGGACACGGUCCAGAGUCCUACGGGAGGCAGCAGUGGGGAAUAUUGGACAAUGGGCGCAAGCCUGCUGCAGCCAUGCCGAGUGUAUGAAGAAGGCCUUCGGGUUGUAAAGUACUUUCAGCGGGGAGGCGGUACCGGCAGAAGAAGCACCGGCUAACUCCGUGCCAGCCGCCGCGGUAAUAC